rnacentral:rRNA from 1 species
UACGUAGGGUGCAAGCGUUGUCCGGAAUUAUUGGGCGUAAAGAGCUCGUAGGCGGUCUGUCGCGUCUGCUGUGAAAACUCAGGGCUUAACCCUGAGCUUGCAGUGGGUACGGGCAGGCUAGAAUUCGGUAGGGGAGACUGGAAUUCCUGGUGUAGCGGUGAAAUGCGCAGAUAUCAUUUGGAACGCCAAUGGUGAAAACAGGUAGCUGGGGCUGUGCUGACGCUGAGACACGAAAGCCAGGGGAGCAAACGGG